rnacentral:rRNA from 1 species
GUAAAGCACUUUCAGUAGGGAGGAAGGUAGUGUAGUUAACACCUGCAUUAUUUGACGUUACCUACAGAAGAAGCACCGGCUAACUCCGUGCCAGCAGCCGCGGUAAUACGGAGGGUGCGAGCGUUAAUCGGAAUUACUGGGCGUAAAGACGCAUGCAGGCGGCCGUGUUAAGUCAGAUGUGAAAGCCCGGGGCGUUAACCUCCGGAAUUGCAUUUGUAAACUAGGCAGGCUAGAGUCUUGUAGAGGGGGGUAGGGAAGUUUACUAGGUGUAGCGGUGAAAUAGCGUAGAGAUCUGAAGGAAUACCAGUGGCGAAGGCGGCCCCCUGGACAAAGACUGACGCUCAGAUGCGAAAGCGUGGGGAGCAAACAGGAUUAGAUACCCUGGUAG